CAGUGGCGGACUGCAUGGUGUGCGUGACCGGUACCAUCACCCUCCUUGCGGUCUGACUUUCAUGCUGGGCUGAUGGUAGGGAAGUGGGACUCUGCCAGCAGUCCCGGCUCACACAGCUGUCUGGUCAUCUGACAGUGCAGCCUGAAGGGAAACUAGGAGCCAAAUGGCAGCUCAAGGACAAGGUGGGUGCAUCCUGGAAGUACCUGAUGGAAGCUCCUGCUGCCUGAGCGGGCGGUGAACCUGGGCUGGCUGCGAACAGGAGCUGGCGUGCAGCCCACAUGCCUGCCACAGCUCUCCCAGCGCUCCCUCAUGGACUGCGCUGAUUUUGAUGGGCAAGAAACACAGCUCAAGGCUUAUUAUAUUCCUAGAAAGAAUGAAGCUUUGAAAGAUCCCCCCUGAACCAAAUCCAAACUGCAGAAUGGUCACCUCUUGUCAGUGUUAAUGCCACUGAGUGGCUGCUGGCAAGGACAAAGGGGACGGGCUUUGCAAGUUCAGCUCUUGGCCUUUUUGAGGCACCUUGGCUGAUGUGCCAGCAGGAGGAGGAAUGUUAUAGCUGAGCCUGGAACAUUUUGCAGAGGCAUUUCUGUUGGCAGGUUUAUGAUCUUUUCUGCCUCAGCUGGAAGCCAGCAGGACUGAAUAAAUCUCCAGGCCAACAAAAGCUCAGGAUGUUUUCACAAUUGCCAGGAUUGUAUUAAUUUACAAGUGCAUUAAUGAAUUUACUCCUUCCUAAGAACAGCUUUCACUUAGAUGGGGAGUCCUACAGUGUGUUUGCGUGUGCACGGUAGGCAAAGCUACUAACACACUGCAAGGAAGUCACCUACCAAAUAGCUGUGCCAUUGAUGCCAGUGAAGUGCAGAUGUGAGAGGACAGAUUUGGUGCUCUCAUCUGCCAGGUCCUGCAGCUCUGCAGAAGGGGUCUGCCUGCCCCGUGCCUGGGAGGACCCCCUCACUGGGGGCUGCUCCACACCACGCAGCUCGUGGGGCUUGGGGCUUGCACAGUCUGCAAGUUCCACCAACAGUUAGUGCAAAAAGAGGCUCUAACUUCAUCCCGUAGGUGCACAUGGUGUCUCCUGUGGAUGGGAGACUGUUCAAACCCUCCAGGUAACAGUAAUGGGAAAUAGCUUCAAGUGAUUAGAAACUUCAAACAGCUUAAUUAUUUCCAAAAAGAGAAAAGAAGAAUUAAAAUGGUUUCCGUGGGUACAUUUUGAAUACAAUCAAUAAUUUAUCAGACAAUUUUCAUUCAACAAUGAGGAAUUAGGAUGCUUCAGACCCUCCAAAAUGUUAUCGGCAAGGGAAAUCAUUUCAGUUCUCUCUUUGUCUUCCUGUGGGUUGUGCCGGGGCAGGAGCCCCUGUGCAGCCCCGUCCCUGUGCCCCUGCUCUUGCUCUCUGGCGCCAGGAGCGUGGUGGCUGCUGCUGCAGGGAUGGUCCUGUGAGAGCUUCAGACGGGCACCUUCAGCCCACCCAUGUGCUGCUGGGCACCUCCUGGCCUGGGAAGGGGUCUGGGGGGGGUUGAGGGGUUCCCUCUGCCCACCCAGCCCGAGUCUCUAAUCAACCCUUGGGGAAUACAGCAAAGCUGGACAUGAAAGAGCAUCCAGCUGGAGCUCAUCGUCCACCCCAUGAAAAAGCCUGCCUACCGUAAAUAACAGAAGGGGCACGGGAGCUGCUGUGAGAAAUCCUUCAUCAUCUGUGGAAACAUGCUUGGUUUUACAGGAAAAACAAAUACAGUGAGUCGAAAAUAAAUGGCAUUAUUAGCAGAAAGGGAGGCUCUAAUUAACCAGAUAUAGUCCAUUACUGUAGCCUUCAAUUCAUUAAAUUGUAUAAUUACAUAAAACCACUGUUGAUGUGCUAUUCAGUGUAUCUGGUAUUGUCUUCCUAAUAAUUAGCUCCAUAAUUGUCAGUUUGACAGGGUAAUUAAAAAUGUUUAAAGA